AGGUGAAGCUGAGAGAUUGGAGAAAUGAGACACCACCUGAGACACCGCCUGAGACACUGGCCUCCCAGGGUGGCUGUGGCCCCAGGGGGUUUAACAACUGCUUGCUUGUAACCUUCUCCAUCCCAAGUUGGGAGACAGGACAGAGGAAAUGAAGCUUCAGUGUGGCCAGGCUGCCCAUUGUGGUGGACGAGGACAUUGGGAUUCCCCAUUUCAGGGGUGUGUGUUCAUGCAACAGGUUGGAUGAACAGGAAAGAAUUGAAAUUAUGGAGCAGCCCCUCAGUCAGCCUGCUGAGAAACUGCUUAAAGGACAGACAAGCAGAUGCAGGCUUUGAGGUCAUGUCAAACAAAAGAAAGAAGAGGCUUCAAAUUCUCCAGUGUGUGAAUGGGUUUAUUUUAUGGAAUGCAGUAGAACAAGAGCUGCUGGUGAACUGUUUUAAAGAAUGUGGAACUAGUAAUGUUCUUGGCAACCUUGGCACAACUUAUUGUUGGAAGAUGGCUUUGGCUUAGUUUCUCAUGUAGUAAAAGCAAACAAUUAAGGGAGCCAUCUAAAACCAUUUCUAGAAUAGCAGAAAUGGCUUUAGGCUUUGAGAGUAAUAUUUCUUUAAGUUUUGAGGAUUAACAUUGAAACCUUUGUGAUACUUAAAAACAAUGUUUACAACAAUUAGGUAGCCAUUAUUCAUUGGAUUCCUGGUUUCCAUAAUCACUUUUCCCAUUUUAUCCUGUUACUUAAUGUAUAUUAAUAUUCAGUAAGGUAUUUGCCUUUAUAUAUAAACAUGAUAUUAGAAUCUUCUCAGAUUUAUUAAUUUUCCUGUUUAUUUGUUCUAUUUUAAAAAAUUAAAUGGUUUUAUUUUGACAUAACUGUGAGUUCACAUGCAGUUGUAAGAAAUGCUACAGAGAGAUCCUCUGUACCCCUUACCAGUUUUCUCCAGUACUAACAUCUUGCAAAACUAAAGUACCAUAUUCUAGCCAGGGUGUUGACAUUGAUGCAGUGAAGAUACAAGAUGCUUCCAUCACCACAUAGAUCCUUCAUGAGGCUUUUAUACCACAUCCUCUUCCCUCCCUGACCCCACUCCCUUUAAUCCCUGUCAUCCACUAAUCUGGUCUAUAUUUCUAUAAUUUUAUCAUUUCAAUAAUAUGUGAUAUAUGUUUCAAUAAUAUGAUAUAUGUGAAAUCAUAAAAUUUGCAACCUUUUGGGACUGGCUGUUUUCAUGCAGCAUAAUUUCCUGGAGAUUCACCCAAGUGCUUGCAUGAAUCAAUAGUUCAUUCCUUUUGAUUACUGAGUGGUAUACAAUGUGAUAUGGAUGGCCAUAGUUUAACUAUUCACCUUGAUGGACAUGUGGGUCAUUUCCAGUUUUAGAUUAUUAUAAAUAA